rnacentral:rRNA from 1 species
UAACGCGUGGGUAACCUGCCUCAUACAGGGGGAUAACAGUUAGAAAUGACUGCUAAUACCGCAUAAGCGCACAGUACCACAUGGUACGGUGUGAAAAACUACCGGUGGUAUGAGAUGGACCCGCGUCUGAUUAGCUAGUUGGUGAGGUAACGGCUCACCAAGGCGACGAUCAGUAGCCGACCUGAGAGGGUGAUCGGCCACAUUGGGACUGAGACACGGCCCAG